GUGGAAGUGUAUUUUAAGGUGCAGAACAUUAUGUAGAGAAAGAAUGUGUUUUUUGUGAAGUGAAUUGUAACUUGACCAUGUCUCACAAUAGUUUCCUUCCACAACUAUGCAAGCUUUUGUUUACCCUUCCAUGAUGGUUACUUUUUAAAAGCUGCAAAUUCUUUGACACUUUUCCCAUGAAGUCUGAUUCUGCCCUGCUUCACAGCCCCACCCAUCAACCCCUGUUGGAAUUUUGAUUUGCCUUAUAAUUUUCUCGUAAUUUGUAGACUGCACAGAGCUGACACUAUGUGUAGUAAAAGCCACAAAGCUUACAUAGGGCCUUCUGGUAUUAUCAGUCUCAGGAUACUUCCUCUCAAACCUGGCCUCCUAGCUGUGUUAAGUCCAAGUCACUGGGAGAAACCACAAAGAAGUACUUCAGUAGACAGGCCCAGCUGUCACUCAGCCAUCCUAGCCUAAGUGUAAGGCGUGUGUGUGAAGAAGCCCUCAAAUGCUGCCACCUCAGCUUUAUGAAUCAUUUCAACCAGGGCCCCUGCCCUUGUGGGACAGAAGAAAAGCUUACCCCACUUUGGCCUUUCUGAAUUCUUGACCCACAAAAUCCAUGAGCAUACUAGACUUUUGUUAUUUAAUCCACUAAGACCUGGACUUGUUUAUUGCACUCAAUAGACAAUGGGGAAACCUUCUCCCAUACAUCCUAUCAAUUUUACCUUACCAUUUACCAUUUACUACUCAGAACAGGCCAUGUAACACUGGGUUAAAAAAAAAAAAAGAAAGAAAGAAAGAAAAACCAACUACUUAAUAAUGUCAAUAGCUUUAAAUAAUGCGGAAGCAUUCCUUACUCACAUUCCACAUCCUUUGUGUGUCCACAGGAAAGCUCAACGCGUUAUAUUUACUCAGGGCCCCAACAUAAGGGACAUUGCCAAUAACUGAGUUAGAAUGCAAACAGAACUCUGGAAGGUCUUGCACAAGCAGUCAAAUGUAAGCCUGGAAAUGACACAGUUCACUUCUGGUUAUAGUUCAUUAGCCCAAACUAUUCACAUGACCCCUCCUACUCAAAAAGAUACCAGAAGUAUUAUCACUAUCUUAUACUCAAGAGGAAGAGAGCCAGAAAGCCAUAGUAAACAGAGCUAGUGACAACCAUACAAGCUCUUUCAAAGGCAUUGUCUGCCUGGACUUCUCAGCCAAACCCCCGACCCUGGCCCCUGGCUCUGGCUUCCUUCCUACAUCAACUUCAUUAGCAGUGUCUACUUUCUAAGGCCAGUAGCAUUUUUAUUGCCCCAUUUCACCAUUUGUGAACUAUGUCUGUAUCUAGUCUUCCUGCAUAUGCUUCCUGCACAUUAUCUGCAUAUAAAACAGUGGCUGCAGUGGUCUCCAUGACAACCAAGACUAUCUAGGGCUUUUGCUAAAUCCCUAAUCAUGGGUUGAUAUUUCUCCCCUCUCUUUCUGUUUCUUCUUUAUUAGAGUAAAAAUCAGGCUUUUAUAGAGGGUUCAUCUUACCUCCUUCACCUCAAAUAGGAAGUAUAGCAUGGACUCACCUAAAAUGAGUACUCAUAUGAGUUAUCAAUUAAAUAUCUUUAUAAAGAAUAAAAUUAGGAAUGGAAAUGAAGAAAAGUAUAAGAAGGAAGAAAGAUUUUUUUAAAAGAGAAAGCAGAGAAAGUCUUAAAACAAUAAAAGAGGAUAAAUAAAGCAGAGAAUAGACUGGUGAAUGUUUUGGGGCAAAUUCUUGGCUAGAUAUUAAAUUCUAAUUACUCACUUUUUAACAUUUUGAAAGUUGAGGUGUUGCAUAUAAAAUAAGAAUUAUAAAAUUUAUCAUAUCUAACAAGGUAGUCAGAAGGAUAAAUUAACUAGUCUAUGUAAAAAUGCAUUAAAAUAGGCAGUGCCAUUUGAUUUCAAAGUAUUAGUGCUACAUCUAUUUCUUUAUUUUGGGGAGGUUGUUUGUUUUUUAAAUUUAAGCUCCUACAUAUAAGGGAGAACAUGCUGUAUUUGUCUCUCUGGAUCCAGCUUAUUUUACUCAGCAUGAUGUCUUCCAGUUUGUGUUUCUGUCCAUUUUGCUGCAAAUGGUAGCAUUUCAUUCAUUUUACAGCUGAAUAAUAUUCCAUUGUGUAUAUAUACCACAUUUUCUUUAUCCAUUCAUCUGAUGAUGGACAUGUUGGUUGGUUCCAAACUUUGGCGCUUGUGAACAGUGCUGCUAUAAACAUGGUGGUGCGUGCAUUUACCUCUUUCAUGCACUGUGUUUAAAUCUUUUGCGUAUAUAUCCAGUAGUGGGAUUGCUGGAUUAUAUGGCAAGUCUAUUUCUAGUUGUUUAAGACAUCUCCACGCUGUUUUCCACAGUAGCUGCACUCAUUUACAUUCACACCAACAGUGUAUUGAGUGCUUCCCUUUCUCCGCAUCCUUGCCAGCACUUGUUACUUUCUGUGUGUUGGAUUUUAGCUAUUCUGACAGGGGUGAGGUGGUUUUGAUUUCCAAUUUCCUGAUGAUGUGAUAGUGCUACCCAGGAAGAUGGGAUUGAGCGUAGAACAAUUUUAAAUAAAUGUAAGAGUGCUGCCUAUUGUUAAAGAGUCCCUGGUGACUUUAGAAGGUUUAUAAACAGUUUUAGAAAUCAUCAAUGUAAAAUAUGGCUUAAUUCAGAUGUUUAAGACUUCUGGGUACACAAGUAAAAGACAAGCAUAAUUAAUACCAUGGAAUGUAAUAACUCUCAAAUCCAGAAGCUCCUCUGAUGCAUGCCUUUGAACCUUACCAGUGACCCAAAUACCAUCCAGUAGCCUUCCACUGAAUACUCCCUGAGGUUUUAGUAGAAUUAUAUUGGGAGGAGAGACAGCUUUUGGAUGCCUGCAUGCCUUAUCAGAGUGCCUGGGUUCGAGUCCUGGUUCUACACUCAAUCCCAUCUUCCUGCUAAUACACACAUUGGGAGACAGCAGCUUAUGGCUCAAGUGCUUGGGUCCCUGCCACUCAAAUAGAUGACCCAAAUUGAGUUCAUGGCUCCAUGCUUUGUCUUGGCCCAGUCCUGGCUGUUUUGCACAUUUGGGUAUUGACCCAGUAGACAGGAGUUCUUUUCAGACUGGUGUGUGUGUGUGUGUGUGUGUGUGCCUUUCAACUAAAUAAAACAAAGAAGUAAAAAUUUAAAGCUGUCCUUAUGGAUAUACUGUCAGCAUCUCAAAAUCAAGACAACUUAAUACACAAUUCCAAAGACAAGUUUUGUCCUCUCUGCUAUUUCUGUCAGUAUUAUCAAUGUUUGUUAAUUACUCAAACUAAAACGUGGCAUUCCUAUGAACUACCCCCUCUCCCUUCCAUUUUUCCAAUUCCACCCACAAUACACUAAAUUCUAUAGAUUAAUUUUUUAAUAUCUUUCUUACCAUUCCAUUUCUACAGCCCUUUUCCUCAUGUUUAUAUUCCCAUGUUAGCCCCUGCAACAGUUCACUUUGCCUCACGUCUCUCUCCAUGAAUUCUGUUCUCAGAUAGAUCGAUUAAAGCACUAUUUCAAUCAUCACAUUCUCUAUAAAUUCAAGUCAAAACCUUUUGGCCUCAUGAUCUGACCCCAGACAAAUUUUACACUACUCCUUUGUAAGAAAUGUAGCUGAGUGUAUCUAUUCACUGUUUCUUGAGCAUGCCUUUCUCUCUUUUGCGUUUUCAUAUCAUUCCAUGAAACUACAAUAUCCCCAUCUGUACUCAUAAAAUCCUGUUGAUCAUUUAGAGCUCCAGUCAAAUACUACUUCCUUUGGAUUUCUCAGAGUAUAGAACAAAGUGUUUACACAUAUAAAGAAGAUCAAAAGUAUUGAUUAAAUGAGUGAAAAAGAGAAAGUUAAACAUGGAGCAUAUCUAACAAAAGGUAUCAUAUAAAUCGUAGAAAUGAGCAAUUUAUAAAGCUUAAGUUGACAUUUUUAUAUGCCUACUAUAUAAAGUGAUAUAAAUAUUAGUUGUCAGGGGCUGUAUUCAAUUAUUUACAUUCUAAAAAGUAGAACUCAAGCAAAAAGGGAUUUUGUUUGGAGAUCCUGUCUUAAUUAAAGAAUAUUUGCAGGACCUCUAACCUUCAACACUGGAGAAAAAGAGGAGUAAAUUAUUUCCAAAUUUUUUACAUUACCUAUUAUAACUAUGCUUCAUAGUGAAAAUAGAAAAGAAUCCAUGGUGCCUAUUUUGUGUGAAAUGGUUAAUUGAAUUAUAUGACUUAUGAUGGACUUGAGAACUACUGCAAAUUUCAACAAAACAAAAAAGCACUUGGAGCAUUAGAAAUUAAAAAUAAAUAAUUAUUUCUGUUCAGUCCUUAAACUCCUUUCCUGAGUCAUACCAAAAUGUUCAGUGUAGAGCCAAAAAAAAAAAAAAAGUCCUGUAGCAACUUAAGAUGAAAGUAUCAUAUGCCAUUUUCAGUUGUGCUAUUAUUUCUUAACUAUUUGGGGGUUGUGUUUAUAAAAACAAUUAUCUCAUGCAAAAAAUUUUUUACAACAACUGUCCUCUUGAGGAUUUUUUUGGGGAAUAUUCACUUUGGAAGGUACAGAGCAGGAUGGAGUCUUAGAGUUCAUUUUCAUUCGGGGUGGUUAAUGCAUGAAUUUCUGUUCAUCCCUGAAAAAAAGCCACGCAGUCCCCGAACAUUUCCACAUAAGCUGCCUGUUAAGGUAGUUGAUUCCAUUUUCAAAUAGCAGCCAUUGUCAGAAAAUUAUUUAUUUGACAGCAUUCUACCUCUGCUCUUUAGAGUCCCGGACAAUGGACCUGAUGUCUAUUAAUAUUAUAGCCCUUAGCUUCUGAAGACAGCUGUCACAGAAAAUCUGUCUUGAGUUAGGGGCUUACUUUUAGCCUAGCUUUAAAGGACAUAACUAUUUCAAAGUCUUAGGCAAUAUCCAGAACCAUAUGAUAUUUUAAAUGUUUAAUUAUUAACUUUAUUUAUUUGUAAGGUAGAGCAACUGAGACAGAGAGACAGAAAAAGCAAGAUAUUCCAUUUGUUUACUUCACAACAACUAGGGCUGGACAAGGUCAAAGCUGAGAGACAGGAACUUCAUCCUGGUCUUUCAAAUAGGUGACAGGUACUCAAGUACCUGGGUCAUUGCCUACUACCUCUCGUGUGCAUCAUCAAGAAGCUAGAUCAGAAGGUAGAGAUGGGAAUCGAUUCCAGGCACUCUGACAGGGGAUGCAAAUAUUCCAAGCAGAGGCUUAUCCCAUUGCACAACAAUACCUGCUUGCUGGCACUGUAUGAUUUAAUAAUGCUUCUCUGGGUGAUUCAUCUGAUUCUUCUCAGUUUCCUAUCUUGCUAUGUACUACCACCAGUCACCUGCUUCUGCAUUUUUUCUAGACAAAUCUACAGCAGUCUUCCCUUAUCCAUGGGGAUAUGUGCUAAGACCCCAGUAGAUGCCAGAAACUUUAGUUAGCACCAAACUCUCUAUAUAAAAUGCCAUGUUUUUCCUACUCACACAUACCUAUGAUAGCAAUUAAUUUAUAAAAAUAGGCACAUUAAGAGAUUAGCAGCAAUAACUAAUAGUAAAAAUUGAAUGAUUGUAUUAAUGUAAUAUAAGUAACACUAUAUACAGAAUAUACUGUGUGUGUGGGUAGGUGUGUGUGUCUCCUAUCUCUCAUUAUUUUACUAUAUUGUACUCACCUAUAUUCUUCAUGUGAUGAGGUUGAAUGAUACAAUGACACAAUUGACUACAGAUAACUGAAACCAUGGAAAGCAACCUGCAGAUGAAGGGAACUACUGCAAUAUGAUUUGUUCCUAACACAGGAAACCAAUGAACCUCCCAGUAUAUGAACUCCAUACAUGUCAAACCUCAUUAACAUAGUUACAGAUUCCAUCUUGCUGCUAUCCUGAGUUUUUUCACUCUUACAGAAGGGCUCAUCUCUGGCUAGUUGUUUUGAGUUCUGUUCUUCUCAUACCUGAAUACAAUUUGCUAUCCUUCCUCUGUUCCAUGUGUCUACCUAUAUGCUUGAAUAAUGUGAAAGAAUUGUACCCCAGAGUACUAAUGUGUAUAUUGUCUGAGUAUUUUUUCUCCUUCUGCUUUCUCAAAAGUACCCUCAGGGCACUUUUCCCAACCCCUAGUUCCUACCAGUCAAAGACCCAAUGAAUGAAGUCAUUAGCUACAGUUUGAGAGACACAGAUUUGGAAGUUGGUUUGAAGGCUGAAUUUUUCUGCUCCUAGCAACAAAAUGACUCAGAGGCCAUGGAAAGAGAAGGAUCUAAUGGGGAAGAUAGAUAAGAAACUCAGACUAAGGAGAAAGGAGUGGAGAAACCUGAACCUUCAAAGUGUGAGACCUGUAGCUUACUUCUAACCAACACAAUAUGGCAAAGAUGAUGGAAAGGCACUAUAGCAUCUCUCCUUACUUGAUUGAUGAAGUAUGAGGCUAUGUUGAAAAAGCUCAAAUGCCAAAGAGCUAUAGCUGGCCUCAAAGAUCAGGGGAAAGACUCAACUCUAGGAGCCAAAGGCAGCUGCCAACCCAACAAUAAGUCAUGGCCCGAAUCCAAUAAUCUGGGAAAAUAUUGGGACCAGUGUUGUGGCAUAGCAGGUUAAGCUGCUGCCUGUGGCAGUGGCAUUGAAUAUCAGAGUGUCUGUUGGAGUCCUAGAUGUACCACUUCUAAUCCAGCUCAUUGCUAAUGUGCCUCAGAAAGCGGUGGAAGAUGGCCCAGGUAUUUGGGUGCCUACAACCCAGGUUGAAUCAGAUGGCUCCAGUGCUGGCAAAAAUUUUAGAAAAUAUAUCCAUCAUGACACAGACUCUUCUGAACCAGGGCCCGUGGGCCAGCCAUCAACAACAUUUUCCUUUCCUAGAACAUAAGAAGUCAGGGAUUUUGCCAGAGAGGCCUGCCUGCCGGCCAGCCAGGCUCUACUAGGAGACUGAGGAAGCAGGCUUGUUAUUUGGAAGUUUGGUUUGUUGUUACUCUGGCUUUCAAAUUAGAAACAUCAAGACAAAAAACUUGGGUUUGAUACUGGAUUAACUACACAGCUGCUCAAGAAAUGGUCAUAACUCGUCAUCUUUGAAUGUGCUAGCAAGCAGUAUCAGUUCACAUUAACAGCACAGGGAGGCAUAAUUGAGACCUAUGGCUAUAUGACACUUGUGAAAAACUGACUGAGAUCACUGAAAAAAGAAACAACUGUCUAACGUCAUGGAUUUGCAAAGGGUUUUAAACUCUUCAAAAAGCAAGAAAUUAUUUCAGUGCCCUUAGUUCACUUCUGGGCCUCGUAAGCAUUUGGAAAAACCCAAUGAAUUCCUAGGGGCUGUUGUUAUGUUAAACAUUCAAUGGAGUGUAAGUGAGUGCUUCUGAUCCUAUUGUCACAUUUAAUUUUAUUUUCCUAUUCCCUAUGUCCAUUUUAUGAUGCUAUAACAGACUACUACAGACUAGGUAAUUUAUAAUGAACAUGAAUCAGCUCACAAUUCUGGAGGCUGGAAAACUCCAACAUCAAGGUACUGGUAUUUAGCAAGAACCAGAACCUUCUUCCUGUCUCAUUACAUCACAGAUAUAACAGGAAAAAAAUGGGCAAGCGAGUACAAGAGAGAGCUGAACUGAGCUUUUUAUAAUGGAAUUAAAAACCUCUUGGCCUAAUUACCUCUUAAAGGUCCCAUUUCUUAUUUUCUUUCUUUUUUUAUUUUAUUUACUUGAAAGAGUUACAGAGAGAGGUAGAGACAGAGAGAGAGGUCUUCCAUCCGCUGGUUCACUCCCCAGAUGGCCGCAACGGCUGGAGCUGAGCUCCAAAGCCGGGAGCCAGGAGUUUCUUCCACGUCUCCCAAGUGGGUGCAGGGGCCCAAGGACUUGGGCCAUCUUCUACUGCUUUCCCAGGCCAUAGCAGAGAGCUGGAUCAGAAGAGGAGCAGUCAGGACACGAAGGCACCCAUAUGGGAUGCCGGUGCUUCAGACCAGGGCUUUAACCCACUGCGCCAUAGCACAUGUCACAAAGGUCUCAUUUCUUAACAUUUUUACAAUGGCACUUUAAUUGCAGCAUAAAUUUGUGAGGGGACAAAUAUUGCAACCAGAGCAUCUACUCUGGAGGUACAGAAAAUUCAUUCUUAUUUUAAUUAAAUUUCAAGAUUUUAAAAUUGAAAUGCCAUAUAAGUUUGCUAUGUUUCCAAUUACCUUUUUGUUGUGAAUAUGAGAGAACUCAAUAAGUUCACAGAAAGCCUGUCAUAAGAAAGUAUGGCUUUUUGAAAAAUUUUAUACCAAAAUAAAUUAUCUUUCAAUUCUACUUUCCAUAAAUUUUCUAAGUACCCUUAUAUUCACCUAUAUGUCUUAAAACCUUUAUUACACUUCACUUCAUCAACCAGAAGAGCUUUUUUAAAUCUGGUUUGAAUGUUUCAAUGAGAGUUUCUGCCUUUCACAAGGAGUGACUUUUGAUCUGACUUUAAGAAUAUGUACUAUUCCCUCAGCCAGAAAACAAAGUCUAGAUGAGAAAAAUAAUCAGCAAUGAGUUAAGCAUUUGAUGCAGCAAUUAAGUUGCCACUUGAGAUGCCUGCAUACCAUAACUCAGUUUGAGUUAUGGUUUGAGUCCUGGCUCUGCUCUUGAUUCUAGCAUACUGCUAACAUGCUUCCUGGGAGACAUAAAGUGAUGGCUCAGGCACUUGGGUCCUUGAGAUGCAUGUGGGAGACCUAGCCUGAAUGGCGCAGCCCCACAUGUUGUAGGAAUUUAAGGAAUAGAUCAGCAAACUGGAGAUCUCUCUCCCUCUCUCUCCCCCUCUCUCUUUUUCUCCUUCUCUCUCUCUACUUUCCAAGUAACAUAAAAAUAAAUAAAUGAAAAAUUUUAAAAUUACCCAACCAGAGGGCUGGAAGAGAAAAAAAUACUUGGACAGUCAUGGAGCCCCUAUUUUAAAGCUAAAGAUAACAAAUGAACAGGAAUAAAUCUUUAAAAGAUGUUACCUGCCGUGCAACAGAGUUGGCCUUGUUUCUCUGGGAUUUACAGGGCAAUAGAUGCUUUUAAGCAACAUAUUGACAUGUUUUGGACAAGUCACUAUUUGUUGAUAUAAAGGAAAGAGAAAGAUAUAAGGGGCAACAAUAAAGAUCAUUCAAAUGGCUAUUCAAACAACAGUGAUAAUGGUAUUUUGAUCAAAAACAUAUCUGAGUAUAUUUCAUACAAUUCUCUGACAAUCUCUCUUCCUAACUAGCAUUCCCAUCACUCCUUUUUUGUAUCCUUUAUCAUUCUGACGUCCCAAUAGACCAUUGUCUUUUUAAAUUUUUUCUAUUUAUGUAUUUCAUUUAUUUGGAAUGGAGGGGGUAAAGAGGAGAGAUAGCCAGCCGGCCAGAGAGGUCUCCCAGGUGGGUGGCAGGUACCCAAAUAGUUGAACAAGCACCACUGCCUCACAGAAUCUGAAUUAUUGGAAAUGGGAGUCAGGAGCCAGAUCCUGGGCACUCAAAUAUGAGAUUUAGGAAUCCCAACCAACAUCUUAAAUCACAAGACCACUCAUUCACCUCAGGCUCAUUAUCCUUCAACUUAAUAUCAUUAUGACCACCGAUAGACUUUCCAUCUUCAUUAUAUACCUAUCUGUGCAACUGUUAAAUUUAUAUAAUCUGGCAAUACUAAUAUGAACCAUCAUGCUUUAAUUUAGUAUCUGUUGAAAAUGAAUUAUAUUAUUUUCUUCCUGAAUAAUAAUCAUCUACUUAAACCCAAAUUCUGAUGCUAAACAUUCUCAUUGACAUUUAUAAGAAAUAUUAUUUAAAUUUUGCCAAAGAGUUUACUUCUUGGACACAGUAUAAUUCAUCUGAGUUGCAAAAGAAAUUAUAGGGAGAGCUUAGACUCUAUCCAAGUCCUAUUAUGAAGUCAAGCCUAUUCUGCCAGCACAUCUGUUCCCUUCCUACAACUUCUAGACUUUCCUCUUUCAUCAUCAAAGUUGAAAAGGACAGCAAUAACCAAAACAAUAUGAAGAAACAGGCCAAAGAACUCAGCCUGCCUAUUUGAGGAACAGCUCCAGUGGGCAGCUGAUUUUAACAGUGAACUAAACAAAGCUGGGCCAAAGCUGAAGCUAGCAACUAGACAUGGAGGUUAUCUGGAGUCAGGAAAGAAAAGUUUCAAGAAAGAUGCUAGACCAGCUUCUGAGCCAAUAAGCCAGAGAUUACUGCAGUUUUGUCCCCUAGAGAGCUUCACAGAAAUGUGGAGUCUAGGAAAGAUGUUGAUGCCUUAGAAUAAACUGACAUUUAAACAGAUACAAGAAGGAUGAUGGAAAAAAAAUCCUGCCUUGUUUAUGGAAGUCCAGAGCAGAGUGAAUGACAAGUACAAAGUUAACUGAGUACAUGGUGAGAAGGAAAUAGCAAAGAGGCCCAUGUGGCUGGGCAGGAUAAACAGUGUGGAAGGUGGAUACAUUUGGACUCCGAGGUGUUGGGAGGCACCUCAUGUAGAACUAGGAGAAUUAGUGAAUGGACUUUAGGUUUUCUGAGUGUGGAAAGAAAUUACAUAAUCAGAUUUUGUUCUUAAGCAUUUACACUGAUUGUAGGAAGAAAAUAGACUCUUGGAGUUCUACAGCAUACAUAGAGACACCAGUUAAAGGCUCUUGCACUAACUCAGGCAAGCAUCUUGAACCAUAGCGGUAGCAAUGAGGGCAUUGAUAAAUGGUCAGAUUUAGGACAUAUUUUGAGGCAUAACUGACAAAAACUGUGAAUGUGUUGGAUGUGAGGUAAAGAAAGGAGGACAGGAUGAUUUUCAAGUUGUGCCUUGAACAACUAUAAAGAUACAGCUUUCAGUUGACUGUAUAAUGAUGUAUGGAGACUACAGAAAAAGUUGUUUCUACUGUUUAGGGUGGAAGAAUCAAGAAUAUGACUUGACACAUGUAAAGUUUGAGAUAUCUACUAGACAUCUAAGUUAAGAUUUCAAGUAGAUGAUUUACUAUAUAAGCAUAGAUCUCAUGGGAAAAGUCUGUGCUGGAGAUAUGAAUUUUGGACUCUAUAACAUCGAAAGCAUAAAAUUGGAUUGAUAUCAAUUUGGGAAGAAGUAGAGUUGGAGGCAAGUGGUGUUCCAGAGCUUAGAGAGUGAGAAAAUAAGAAAGAUUCCACAGGAGACAGAGAAAGAGUAGUGAGUGAGAUGGAGGAGAAAGCAUUUUCCCAAAGUCCAAGUGAGGAAAAAUGGCUCAAAAUAGAGGGGAUUGUGAAUUGUGAAUAAUUAUGAUGAAAGAGGACAAGCAAUGUGAGGUCUGAAAACUGACUGUUGAAAUGAGCAACGAGGGUGGCCCGGGAGUGCAGUGAGGAUGGCCCAAGUCCUUGGGCCCUGCACCCCAUGGGAGACCAGGAGAAGCACCUGGCUCCUGCCUUUGGAUGGAUCAGUGUGGUGAGCCGGCCACAGCGUGCCGGCCGUGGCAGCCAUUGGAGGGUGAACCAACGGCAAAAGGAAGACCUUUCUCUCUGUCUCUCUCUCUCACUAUCCACUCUGUCUGUCAAAAAGAAAGAAAGAAAGAAAGAAAGAAAGAAAGAAAGAAAAAGAAAGAAAGAAAGGAAGGAAGGAAGGAAGGAAGGAAGGAAGGAAGGAAGGAAGGAAGGAAGGAAGGAAGGAAGGAAGGAAGGAAGAAAGGAGCAACAAGGAGAUCACAAGUAGUCUUCACAAGAGCAGUUUGGGGCAAAUGGGGAAGAAAGAUCUGUGAAGUGGGUUCAAGAGAGAAUGGAUAAAAAGGAAACGAUAAUGAGUAUAGACAGUUUUUCUUUGAAUUUUGCUACAAAUGGGAUCUAAUAUGGACAGUAGAAGAUAGAAGAACAGGACAAGUUUUUUAGGUAAGAGAGAGUACAGUAGAUGUGCAUGAUGGUUCAAAUGAUGCGGCAGAGUGAUAAUUUGGUGAUUUGGAAGAACAGUCUUGCUGGAAUAACUGGAUGAGGGUAUGUUCUGGGAGAACCAGUAACCUUACUGAGGAAUGACCAAUGCUGAUGUCAUCAGUCACAUUUUUGUCUCCCUCUCUGACUCCACCUUUAUCUUAACCAGCAGCACUUUCUUUACUCCUAGAGUUUCAAAGUCAAAAUUUCUGACAGCUUGCUAAUAUUUCUUCUUCAACUUUUCAUCUAUUCUAUUAUAAUCAAUCUCCACUUGCUAUACUACUUGUGGUCCCUGUUAAUAUUGUUAGAAAUAAGCUUUAAGACAUGUUAAGUCCCAACGGACAACUUUCCCUCUCCCCGCAAGAUGCUCUUCACCUUCACCUCAACAUCUUUCCUUUUGCUAUAUUUCCAUCAUGGUAGGACAUAAAGAAAUGAAACAAGAUGUUCUGAGCAUCUUGGGAUCUUGGGUAAGAGUAUAUUUAAAGUUCAUUCUUUUUUUCUGUUGCCAAGUGGAAUUGAAUAUAUCUUAUUUUUAAAAAUACUAUACACUUGAUUUAUUCUUGCUGUGGCUAGAAGCUCCAGCAUGAUAUUAAGUUGUACAGUUAAAGUACAUGAUUUUAUUGAUAUUGUCAAAGAAUCAUCAUUUUGUUCAAUUGAUUUUAUAUAUUGCUUAUUUAUAUUCUAUUAUACCACAUCUUUAUGAUUUAUGCUUUUACUUAUUUUGGAGUUAUUUUUGAUGUUCUGUCUAGAUACCUUUUUAACAAUAUAUUUUUAGAGUCUACAAUUUUAAGAUUUUUCCAUAUUCAUUUUAUAUGUAGCUAUUAUAUAUGUAUAUAUACAUACAAUUUCCCUUGAAUACAGGGAUAUUAACAACACAUAAUAUAUGAUUCAUGACAAUGAUCAUAAUGUGAAAAAAGAAGGGUAUAUUUUUAUGUAGAUGGUAUAAUUCAGUGAAUAUUUUAUAUACUGAUUGCUCAUUGAAUCUUUGGGAAGAUGGAUCAAAGACAUGAAGGAAGAAUGCAAAAAAUGAUUCCAUACUUUCGAUUGGUGGAGGAUACGACUAUCUAACCAAUAUGCCAGUAUUCAUGUUGAACCAUGAACAGGGCACUGCUGAUCCCAGCAAUGCUGUGUUCCUCAAUUUCCUACAGCCCAGAGUAAACCGUUAACUUUGCUGACAAUUAAGAGUGUAUGUCUGUGAUGAAGUGCAUAUCAAUAGCAAAGAAAAGCAAGAAAGCUAGUGUCCAUUAUUUUCAACUACUUUAGUGGGAAGCAGGACCACACACAGUAUUUUCAUUUACCAAGUUUCUGAUUCCUGCCACCACAGGGAUAUAUCAAUCUUAUUUAUAUAAAUCUCAUUGACAUCUAGCCUAGAAAAUAUAAAUGAUAUAUAUAUGUUAUCACUCUUGAUGACUUUUUGGACAUCUUAAAUUCCAGAUUUUGUCCAUUUCAUUUUCCUGCUAUCUAUUAGGAGGAAAAAACUUUAUAGGCCUGCAAUGUAUGUAGGAUACAGUUUUAAUCACCUACAAUAUGCCAAAAAGUUACUAAUGGUAUGAAGCCAACAGUCUUUUCCUAUGAUCAGGGAAUAGAGUUUAAUGAGAUGUAUAUGAAUACACUUACUGGAGCAAUGUGGUAGAUAAAGAAUGGCAAUUAAGAUUUAUUGAGCGGCUACUCUGAAUUUCACAUUGCAUCAACACAUUUAUCUCAUUUAUCAACAUAGCAACCAUAUAUAUUCAAUAUUAUGAUAGAAGUUAACUAACUUUAACUUGAUUAUAUAAGUAGUAUGUAAUGGAGCUAUAAUAAAAACCUAUGCACUUCCUUUUGUAAUCCUGGAAAUAGGAAAAUGGUUUGGCUCCUUUUCUACCAUUCUACUACUCCAUGCAGGUCUCAACUGUCUUCAACUACCCAUUCAUUCAAGCCCAAUAUUUAAAUUACAUUCCUGGCCUUAUGUGAAACCUCUGUGAGAACCUCUGCCUUACAAGUUUUAGCAUAAAACUAAUCAACAUAGCUAAGAAUAGCUAUCAUUAAGAUUAAUGAUCUGCAAUUAUUUAGAAUCUGAUCAUUUUCCCCAAAUCUCUUAGUAUCCUAAUCCUUUCAACCUGACAACUCUAACUUCUGAAUAUUUUGUUUCCUGGCUGACCCCUUUGAAUACAUUCUCUUGCUUUCCUACUUCCUACAUUAGACAAUAUCCUUUACAUAUGGUCAAUUCCAAAUUCUGGCUUCUUCUAACUUACCUCAAAUCUUCAGCAUUCAAAUUCUAAGGAGAAAAAGACUUCGAGAAAAGACUGCAAGCUCUGAUGAAUAGAGUCAGCAAACAAAAUUUAAAGGUAAAUAGAAAACUCCCAAAAUUAUAGUUGAUAAUUUUAAUAACAUCUAAGAAUAGCUAUUAACUCUUAUUUUUAUUAUUCAACAGAAAUAUUGUUGGAUAUUGUUUUAAUAUGAAAACUGUUUGAAAUAUUCAAUAGGAUAGAUACUAUUGAGAUGGGCCCAGGAGUUACGUUAGCAAAUUUGUGUCAUUCGUUUAGUCUAAACAGCCGUUGUAUGUUGAAAUAGUUAGACCUGAGUAUCAGAAAGCUGGUUCAGAGUUCAGCAGUUUUAGCAGAUUAGUCAAUGAGACUUUCAGAGGUUGUGACACACACAGUUAAAUUCUAAUUUUACCAGCUUGGCCUCUCCCAUAACCUUUUAAUUGUAUAGUUAACCUACUAUUGCUCCAUUUCCCAAUAAACUUUGAGAUAUGCCUAUGAAGUACCAAAUGAAGUGAGUAUUUCCUAAUUAUCUGCCAAUUUGGAGGUGGACCACCAAACUGUGUAUAAUUCAAGACUGUGUGCAUCAUUGACUUUAAUCAUUUUACUGAAUCAUGUGAUUUAGUUCACCAUUUGAAUCAACUUAAUAAGUGCUUAAUCCAUUCAGGACCUAUUUGUGAAUAUCAAACCUUAAAACUAGUCCUUGUUUCAAAAAGUACUUGCUGCUGAUGACAUUACUUCUACUUGUACCCCAGGUAGGUGAUGUUACUGUCAGAUGUACAAUACCAGUAACUGAAUGCUUUGAUCACCGGACAGUCCAAAUUGAACAUGAUUUCUCUGUAACUGUGCUAGAGGAUAAGAAUAAAAAAUAGGAUUCUUUGCUGCCUCUGGGGCAUGGGUAAGUGUUCACAUCUUCUUCUUUCUAAAACAUCAGAGUUCACCUAAUUUGGCCUCAUACACCUACACUCCUACCAGUGGAGAAAACUGGUAUUAUUCUCUGGUACAACAUAUAAUAUUAGAGUCACAAGUGACCUCCUGAGAUUCUGCUGUCUCUCUAGCCACACUGGGCCCAAGAUUUCCAGAUACCCUUGUUCUGAUAACCUAGGUAAGAAAACAUCUCCUAAAUACCACUACCCCUCUUCCAUCUGCAGGAGAGAUUAACCAUCCUGUGACCUAUAACCCUUGUUAUCCAUGGCUUCUAUUCAAAUCCCAUCAUGCUCCUAAUUCCAGUUCACCUAUGUUACCACCAGAAGCCCAGGGUUCCUAGGUCACAAGUUUCUCUGGUCAGUUUCAUAUAUAUGCAUGACUACCCUGUUCUCAGCAUUCAAUAAUAUCAUAACCUCGCCUACAUUCUUGGCCAUCCAAGCCCAUCCACAAAAACUUGUUUCCUGUCAUUGGAAAAUUUUCUCCUUCCUUAGUCUAUCCAGUGAAAAUUUACUUCAGACUUCUGCUGAAAUUCAACCUGUAUCCUAAAGGAGAGGAAAUUUUUUUUUAUUAUAUUUUUCUCUUAUAGUCCAGAUGCCACAUACCUGGAGACUGAAGUAGUGCUCUUUCUUUUUAUCUCUUGCCACUUUCAAGCUGCCAUUCCUGUUUCCCCCUUCAGAAUUCUCAGGUCUUCUGAAAUACAUGUUCACAGCCUUUCUUAUCCUUUGUCCCUGCCUUGUUAAAUUACUUAAAAGACUCUGAUUAUUGCUCUUCCCUCACAUGUAUCUUUCCUGUCAUCAUGCUACAAAAUCAAAGUAGGUGAUCAAACUAAAACUCUGGUCUGUAAUUACUUUGCUCCCUUAGCUCCAGUAACCUUGUCCUCCACCACUUUUCCAUGACUGAAUCACACAUUAUACCUAUAUUUUGUCAUCAUCCUGCAUGAUCUCUGAAUUUCAACUCCAAGCAUUUCUUUCUGUCAUCUUCUAUUCUUCCAACCUACUUUUGUUAGUAAUCCACUCAUGAAAUUCACCAGAUCAUCAAUACCCCCAAUUCAUUGACCCUGUAAUUUUUAUGUAAUCAUCAUAAUCCCAUGUAAUUUCAUUCAGCUUGUUUUUCAUGAUCCCAUCCUAUAACUACUUUCUAACAAAUGUCCUUAAUUCUUUUUCCCUUUUUCUUCCAUCAUUUUUUCCUGGCAAAAUCUAAACUCCACUCAAAUACAACAAAUUGCUAAUAUAUCCCUGCAUUCAAAUGGCUGAAUACUGCUAAAGUGUAUUACAUAAUUAUUAUUAUUAUUGAAGUCACUCAUGAACAACAUCUUGCCAAAGACAAUGAAUGGCUAAUUCUAUGCUUUCAUCUGUCAUUUCCUCUUAGAAAAUGUUUUUCCUCUUGGUAUGCUGCCCAUUAUUGAGUGCUGUAGCCUUGAGUGUAUUUGCAUUUAAAACCAUCACAAGUGCAUUUAUACAUAGAAUUCCUUCAGAUAACAUUCCAUAAGCAAGAGGCAUAUCCUCUCAUUCUUUCCUUUUUAGCGUUCCAGAGAAGAGCAAGAAUGAGAAUUUUGCAGCUAGCUGUACCACAAAAUUUAAUUGCCAAAAAUUAAAUUAUAUUAUCUUCCACUUUCAUCAAGAUUCUCUGGGAAAUUUAUCAAGUAAUAAUUGUGAAAUAUCCACUGUAAUGGUAAAAUUGUUCUGAAGAUUCUCACAAAUAUUAAAAUUAAUUUUAAUUAUGACCUUGUUAAUCACAUGAGAUCCAUGAAGUCAUGUGUCUACUUUCUUUUUCAAAAUUUACUGGAAGUCCUUAAUGAAAUGUCCAUAAGUACUACUAGAUUACUAACAGGAAAUGCCAAUUUUAAGCCCUCUAGUCGUCAAUACUAUGUCAUUCUCUAAAAUUAUUUCUAGAAUUUUUCAAAUAAGUGAAAAAUUACCAUAAUUUACAGAAUUAUUUACACAAAAAGAUCAUCGGACAUUAUCCCUGUUCCCUACACAAUGCACCACAGCUGAAGUUGAGUUAUUCAUUAUUUCAUAAAGAGUUGUUGGAUACCAAUAUUGAUUCUUAAAAUCACAUAAAUAAAAAACAUGUGAAUAUAAAUAAAUAAUUUAUUUAUCUUUGCUUGGAUUAAUACAAACUCAAGAAACCAAGAUAAAUAAUUAGUACUUUCUACCUUAGAGAUAAGUCAAAUAUUUAGAUUUAUUUUUUGAUUAUGGAAUACCAUAUAGGCUUCAGAACAAAAGCCUACCUACGUUACUCAGAGGUAAAAAAUCAGUAUUUCUAAGCAUCAGUUUUGAAAAGCUUUUUAAAAAAUCUAGAUCACAAUAUCUACCUGAUUAAGAAUUAGAAAAAAGAAACAAAAUUAAAAUGUACAUCAUGACAUCAUGAAUAAUAUAUUCCAGCUGGCACCGCGGCUCACUUGGCUAAUCCUCCGCCUGCGGCGCCGGCACACCAGGUUCUAGUCCCAGUCGGGGCGCCGGAUUCUGUCCCGGUUGCCCCUCUUCCAGGCCAGCUCUCUGCUAUGGCCAGGGAGUGCAGUGGAGGAUGGCCCAAGUGCUUGGGCCCUGCACCCCAUGGGAGACCAGGAGAAGCACCUGGCUCCUGCCUUCGGAUCGGUGCAGCGCGCCGGCCGCAGUGCACCAGCAGUAGCAGCCAUUUGGGGGGUGAACCAAUGGAAAAGGAAGACCUUUCUCUGUGUUUGUGUGUGUGUCUCUCUCUCACUGUCUAACUCUGCCUGUCAAAAAAUAUAAAAAUAAAAAAAUUAAAAAAUGAAUAAUAUAUUCUAUGGAACAAAAUAGGUGCUCAUUCUAUCUAUAACAUUAUCAUGGCUUGCGUGUUACUUUUGAGGAAUAAAGGAAAAUUAAGGUAUUUCUUUAAUUGCUUAUAAAAAUAAUACUCUUUAGAAUAACUUGAUUCAAGGCUGGCAUUGUAUUACAGCAGGUUAAACUGUACCUGUGAUGACAACAUAUCACAUGAAUGCUGGUUUGAGUCCUGGCUACUUCACUUCUGAUCCAGCUCCCUGUGCCUGGGAAAGCAGCAGAAGAUGUCCCAAGUGCUUGGGCCCCUGCUACCCACGUGGGAGACCCAAUGAAGCUCCUGGCUUUGGCCUGGCCCAGCCGUAGUUGUUGCUGCCAUUUGGGGAAUGAACCUGCAAAUGGAAGGUCUCUCACUCUGUCUCUCUUACUCUUUGUAAUUCUGCCUUUCAAAUAAACAGAUAUUUAAUAAAAAAGAAUUAUCUGAUAAAGUAUAUUUUGCAUGUCCCUAAAUAAUUUUUCCAACUUUUAAAUUUAUACAUGAUAUAAAGAGAAAGUUAACCUUUUGCAAACCCUUGUUAUUUGUGUUUAUUAGUUGUUGGUUUUUUUUUUUUUUUUUUUAGAGAGAUCUUUAAUCCUCUGGUUCACUUCCUUUUUUGUUUUUUAUUUUGACAGGUAGAGUUAUAGACAAUGAGAUAGAGACAGAGAGAAAGGUCUUCCUUCCGUUGGUUCACUCCCCAAAUGGUCACAACAGCCUGCGCUACGUCAGCCCGAAGCCAGGAGCCGGGUGCUUCCUCCUGGUCUCCCGUGCGGGUGUAGGAGCCCAAGCACCUAGGCCAUCCUCCACUCUCCUCCCGGGCCACAGCAGAGUGCUGGACUGGAAGAGGAGCAACCAGGACUAGAACCCGGUGCCCAUAUGGGAUGCCGGCGCUGCAGGCGGAGGAUUAGCCAAGUGAGCCACGUGCUGGCCCCUGGUAUUUAAGUUUUAAAGUUUAGCACAUAAUGUGCCAUUUUUUAAAAAGAAGAAAUACCAAUCCUUCUUUAGUUUCUAUGACUAAAGACAAAAUUAAGUAUUUUUAAAUGGCUAAUUAUAAAUAAUUAUAGUGAUUCUAUGUAGUUAAUUUAAGAUUAAAAUAUUUAAAAUAAAAAGGAAAAGAGACAUGAGAAUACUAAUGAUGUAAAUAUAUGAUUUCUUUCAGCUCUAAAAUCUAAGUUAGCAUUUGAUAAAAUUAUGUGGCGUCUAACUAAUUGUAUUUUAUUUAUCAAAAAUUUUUGCUCCACUGUAUGAUUGAGUGCACAUAUAAUAUAAUGAAAGUAACUUUUUCAAAAAAGAUUUAUUUGAAAGGAAGAGUUAUGGAGAGGCAGCAGUAGAGAGAGAGAAAUCUUCCAUCCUCUGGCUCAUUCCCCAAACAACAACAACCAUGACGGGGCCAGACCAAAGUGAGGAGCCAGGAGCUUCAUCCAGGUCUCCCGUGUGGGUGCAGGGGUCCAAGCACUUUAACCAUCCUCCAAUACUUUCCCAGGUGCAUUGACAGGGAGCUGGAUCAGAAGUGAAGUAGAUGGGACUUGAACUGGCACACAUAUGGGAUUCCAGUGCUGCAGGCCCUGGCUUUACCAUCCACAACCAGUACCCCAUAAGUAACUUUCAAAGUACUAUCAUAUAUGAGAGACAUACAAAGAAUGAGUGUAUCAAAAAAGUGACUGUAAAUUCAAGCCUAUGUAGCAUUUUCAAAAUGGAAAAUAAUUUUUCAAAAAAUGAUAAGAUAAAAAAGAGAGUGUAAUUCUCUAUGAGUAGCAAUUUGGGGGAAGUCAAAUAAAUGGCAGAAAUGUCUAGUUAGUAAAGCUUGUCAAUGUAGAUUCUUCUGGUACACUCUCCAGAGGGUAAGGUUCUAAACUUUUUGUCUGCGUAGAUCUACAUCCCGCUUUCAAGCAAAUAGAGGGAGAGCAGAGAGCUUUCCUGGAUUUGCUUCUGCUGAAUUGUCUUCAACCCAAUAAUCUUUCCCAUUUUGGAUUGUAUAUCCUCAUCUCCUACAAUUCUACUGUAAUUCUAUUGGGCUUAGCUUACAACAAAAAAUAAAUAAGCAUACCUAGUUAAUUUGAAUUUAUGACAAUUAGUACUCACUUAAUGUAAAUAUAUCCAUGAAAGUAUUUUAAGUAUAUCUAGGUCCCAAAUAUGUACGUAUUUCUAAUAAAUGAUUAUUUGUUAUUUAACUGAAAUUUGAAUUUAACUGUGCAACUUGUAUUUUUAUAGGCUAAAUUUGGUAACCCCAGAUGAAAGAUAACAAUUAUUUUUGGAGCAAAAAUACAAAUAAAUAUUUCAACAAUUGUACCUUAGACAUGCGGAGCCAACUAUACAUAAUUUUAUGCAUAUGAAGAGAAAAAAACUAGCUCUUACUACAAACCUAGAUCAUUUUUACUGUCCUUGGCAUAUUUACAAUUUUGAUAUAAACAUUGUAAGUAAUUGACUCUUAGGAAAUCUCUGUAGUUAGUGGAAAGUCUGAAAUACAUAAAUGUAGAGGUAUUAUGAAUAACAGCCCAUUUUACCAAGUGCUAUUUGAUUCACACUUUAAAAAACAUAUCCUUACGUUUUGAAUCAGAGAUAGUUGAAUCCAAAGUGGGUAGCACCUUCAAAAUCUCUUUACAAUUUGAAACAGAUUCAUUUUCUUUGCAUGAUUAGACCUGAAACAUGCAAACCCAUGACCAUCUGAUGGGACCUCCACUUGGCCAUAUGCUGCAUUUUGGAAACCAAAAAAGGCAACCUUUUUAGGACAACAUGGCCCUCAGGGUUCUAGCGUAGCUAGCAGAAGUAGGAUUGCAUUUUAACUCCCUCAACUGUACACACUUGUAUAGUGAGCAACCUGUGCAACAUUUUGGAGUUGACUUGUCACUUGGGCCACACAAAAUAAAAAGUAGAUUACAGAAAGAACGACAAGUGAUAUAGGGAGUUACCAAGGAUGCUAAAUUUUGUUGUUUUUCAAUUCUAAAAUCAUAAACCUCAUUGAAACAAUGGUAAUUCUUAUCAUUUUGUUUAUCUUUAACCCUUUUAAUAAAUUAUUUCAUCUUGCUUAAGGUAGUUCAAACUCAUUCCUGACACUUGAAAUAUAUUUUAAUAUGUAAUUAAUUGCAUAAAUAUUGCUUCAAAACAAGCUUUAGGAAUCAUUAGAACUGUGAUACCAUCCUGGCAAUAAUCUAUAUUGAAUACACAUUGGAAUAUACCAAAGUGCUUUUCUUUUACUGCUGAAUUGAUCUUUUGAAAUCUCUUUCAGAUUCCGGGUCUCUUUGGUGUUCAGAGAUUGGCAAAUCCUUGUUAAAAAGAGUAAAUAAAAUGAUUUUCUUUCAGUUGCAUUCAGAAUGAAUUUAAUUUUCAUUCUUUCCUUUGAAUAAUGGGUUUCUCAAGCUGAAAACAAUCUGUAUUUUUUUUAAAUAAAGUGUUCCUUUGGAACAAUUUGUGAAUAAAGAAUUGAAGAGGUGAAAUAAAAAAGAAUCAGAAACUUUUACACAAGCACAGCUUAAUGAUCUGAAAAAAAAAGGGAAAGAGAGGAUAAACAAAGCAAGAAUGGAAGCAAUCAAUGUGCUAAUAAGAUCUCCCGGGGCAUUAGCUUUUGACUUUUUCAUAAACUAUAACAUCUUGUAUGUUUAAAAAAUUAUUUCCAUAUAUUUUUUUACUUUCCUUCUAGCUGGAGGAAUAGGGAGUUACUUCCUGUUUUCUUCAUGAUUGUGCUUAACGGGCAAGUUCACUAGAGUACAUCACUCAUUUCAGUCAUCUUUUGUAAUCUUGUGUUUACAAGCAUCCAUUUUACACAACAACUUCCAAAGAAUGUUCUUGCUAUUGUUUGCAGGAUAAUAAGAUAGUUUUCCUCCUUUUCAGUUACAAUCACAGUUUGGGUCUACAUAAAUAAUUGACUGACAUAGAAAUGGCAAUUUCUUUCAUCUGAGUUAAGAAGUUUAGAAUAAGUUAAGGAAGACUGAAGAAGUGGGCUGGUCAUUUGGAAAAGCAGUCUCAGUAGUGAAACAGUCGACUGGGAGACCAUGACAGCCACUGAGCACCAAGAUAAUAAAUUUAUGUUACAUGAUAAUGAUAUAUAAAUAGGAAGGAAUAAAUCUGCUUGGGUAGAUAAAAAGGAUGUUUUUUAUUCAGAAUCCAUAGGGUUUGAUAUUUGUCAGAAAAGGGGAAUAAAAGGGAAGGGAGUGAUCAAACAUUACUCCGAAGAUUGAAGUCUAGUAAAUGUGAAAUGCUAUCAUGAACAUAAAUUGAGAUGUUAGCAAGGAUAUUCUGUCAGGCAAGCAUGAAGUAGGAAAUACGAAUGUGCAACUCAGAGGAUAUCUUGGGACUAUGGAUCAUGAUGUGGGAGUUUUCUGUAUGGAGACAUUCGACAGGGGCUUUGUUUUUGUUAUCCAUUUCACAGUAGGAGGAAAGGCCUAAAUUUAAGGCAAAAAGGAAGAAAGAACGUGGUAGAAAAAGGGAUAGUAAAAAAUAAUUCACAGCAUUUGGAAACAACAACUGGAACACAAAAGCAUCAAUGAAGAAAAUUUCAAGAAACUCCCUUGUGGUAAAUACAUAUUUGGCUUUUGUCCCCAGUUGCUAGCAUACAACUUCUAACAUCUUAACCAUCUCAAGAGUUAUAAGAAUGUUCUGUAUGCUAAUGAGAUGACUAGUGGUUGAGGCCCCCUAGGUAGCCUCAGUAUUGGUACUGGGCUCCAGAAAAACUAUGUAUGAUUGAAAUGUUCAGCAACAACUCAUGAUUUAUGGGUCGAGGAAGAGGCUAGAUAUUGGGCUAAUUUUAAGUGGCAAUGAUCUAAUCAAUUGCACCUAUAUGAUAAGACUGCCAUAAAAAACUUUAAAUGAUAGAAGGGGAGGGGACUUUCAAGUUGGCGGACACAUACAUGAGCUAGGAGGUGGUAUACCCCAAUUGCAGAAGCUCCUUUGCUGGUAAUCCUUUUGGACCUCUUCAUUUGGUUCUUCCAUAUAUCCUUUAUAAUAUCUUUUAUAAUAAAUGAGUAAAAUGAAUGUUUUCCUGUGUUUUCCUGAGCUGUUCCAGCAAAUUACCAAACAUGCAGAGGGGAUAAUGGGAAUUCCCAAUUUAUAGCCAAUUAGUCAUUAGUACAGGAGGCAACCUGUGACAUGCAGCUGGCAUUGGAAGUAGAGGACUUAGCCCUUACUUAUGGGAUCUGUGCUACUUUUGGGUACUGUCAGAAUUGAAUUGAUUCAGUAAAAAGAGUUCAAAAGUGGUAAUUCGUUAUGUAGGUUUUUAUAGAGUCCCAUGAGGGUAUGGUUUAGGCCAAUUGUCUGGAUUUGAUAAAUGGAAGUCUUUGAUCAUUAUCGGUAUCCUUGGAGUUGUAGAGGGAUGGAAGUUGGGUAACGCAGACUUAAACAGAAGGUAAGAAGAGCAAUUGGCAGAACCAAUAUGGAUGUGAAUUUUUACAUUUCUGAGGAACAUCUGCUUUGCCAACCUGUUGGAAGAGCUUGGAUUAAAGAUCAGGAAGUAGAGUUUGGAAAUACGCUCAGAAGAUUAGAUGGGUUGGGCUGGGAACAUUAAGAGAACAAGUUUUCUUAUAGUCUCAGGCAUAUCUAGUGAGAAUUUAGGGCUUUAUUAUUCCCUUACUCCCUUACCAUUUAGUCCAUAUUUUCAGACCUAUCCCAUGGUCUAGAAGUUCCUAUGCUUGGACCACUUCUAGACCUCUUCAUGUAGCCUGAGAUAAAAUAGAAACAAAACUGAAGAAUGGAGAUAUCAGAGCCAGAGAGAAGU